CUACGGGCGGCACCAGUGGGGAAUAUUGCACAAUGGGGGGAACCCUGAUGCAGCAACGCCGCGUGGAGGAUGACACAUUUCGGUGCGUAAACUCCUUUUAUAUAAGAAGAUAAUGACGGUAUUAUAUGAAUAAGCACCGGCUAACUCCGUGCCAGCAGCCGCGGUAAUACGGGGGGUGCAAGCGUUACUCGGAAUCACUGGGCGUAAAGAGCAUGUAGGCUGGUUAGUAAGUUGGAAGUGAAAUCCUAUGGCUUAACCAUAGAACUGCUUCCAAAACUACUAACCUAGAAUAUGGGAGAGGUAGAUGGAAUUUCUGGUGUAGGGGUAAAAUCCGUAGAGAUCAGAAGGAAUACCGAUUGCGAAGGCGAUCUACUGGAACAUUAUUGACGCUCAGAUGCGAAAGCGUGGGGAGCAAACAGGAUUAGAUACCCCUGUAGUC
rnacentral:rRNA from 1 species